CCCAUGGGCCCCCGGUGCUGUCCCACGCGCCUUCCAUUCUGGGCUAUGGACACGAGCCCAUGCGCACACUCGGCCAGCGGCUCCCAGCUGGAUCUGAGCCCAGGCCCUAGGAUCCUGCAGCCGGGUGACCUGCUCCUGCCAGGCAGCUAAGGAGCCAGGAAAGAGUGGGCUCUGACUGCACAGGCCAGCUCCCUGCUCUGGGUGAGGAGACUGGCCACCCCAAUCUCACUCCGAAGACAGUGACCAAGGCUGUGGAGAAAUCACACCAGUGGGGACCUCAGAGAGAGGCAAGAACCCUCUUAGACUGCUGUGCUGUCAGUGUCAGGGGUCUGCUCGGCCAGGGGCCAGCCCCAUUUACUCACCCACAGGAAUCCAGGUGCUGCUGGGAGGAUACUUUGUAGCUGUGGUUAACAUCACUGUCUGUUGAUAAGCCCAGGAGAUUGUGCAUGAUGUUGGUGGGCCUCAUCUGAGCAGUCGAAGGCCUGAAGAACAAUACUGAAGCUUCCCUGAGAAGAGGAGCUUCUGCCUGAGAGGCUCCAGCUUGCAGGCCGCCCUGCAGACAGGCAGCCCUGUGAGCCAGUUCUUCGACAUCAGCAGCGCUUCCCUGUAGGAGCCUGCGGGGCACCAGGAGAAAGCUGACAUCCAGGCCUCUCCCCCUGAUUUCCCUCUCCGCUGGAGUCUGUGAUGAGCUAGACGCUGUGCUAGCCCCAGGAAUGUAGUGGACUCCUCACCGAGCGUGGGAACAGUGACAUUAAGAAGCUCGGAGUUCAAUGAUGUCACACUGGCCACUUGACAUUAGCUGUGGUAGGAGCAUUUGCAGAAUCAGCAAUUGGCAGAAUCAGCAAUCCGGGCUUCCCAGCUGUUACUGUCUGGAGUCUCCUCACCUUGAGCCCUAAGGGAUGGAAUCUGCUGUCUCCAGACUGAGACCUCUGAAACUGUGAGUGACAAACUUUUCCUCCUCUUUUGGUCCCAGUGUUGACUACAACAGCAGCUGAGGCACACACCAUCGGCUUACCAGGGAGCCCAGGG